AGAGUUUGAUCCUGGCUCAGAACGAACGCUGGCGGCGCGUUUUAAGCAUGCAAGUCGAACGGCAAGACUGGUAGCAAUACUGGUCUGAGAGUGGCGAACGGGUGAGUAAGACGUAGGUGAUCUACCCCUGGAUGGGGGAUAGUCCGUGGAAACACGGGGUAAUACCGCAUAAGGCCUUGUGGGUGAAGCCAUGAGGUGAAAGCUCCAAUUGGAGCGUCUGGGGAUGAGCCUGCGGCCCAUUAGGCAGUUGGCGGGGUAACGGCCCACCAAACCGACGAUGGGUAGCCGGCCUGAGAGGGUGUACGGCCACACUGGAACUGAGACACGGUCCAGACUCCUACGGGAGGCAGCAGCUAAGAAUCUUCCGCAAUGGGGGAAACCCUGACGGAGCGACGCCGCGUGGACGAUGAAGGCCGUAAGGUUGUAAAGUCCUUUUGCAGGAGAAGAAUAAGGUAGGGAGUGGAAAGCCCUGCUGAUGACGUUAUCCUGCGAAUAAGCCCCGGCCAAUUACGUGCCAGCAGCCGCGGUAAUACGUAUGGGGCGAGCGUUGUUCGGAGUUAUUGGGCGUAAAGGGCGUGUAGGCGGCCCGAGAAGUCUGGUGUGAAAUCGCAGGGCUCAACCCUGCGGGUGCGCUGGAAACUGACGGGCUUGAGUCCCGGGGGGAAGCUGGAAUUCCUGGUGUAGGAGUGAAAUCUGUAGAGAUCAGGAAGAACACCGGUGGCGAAGGCGAGCUUCUAUUCGAGGACUGACGCUGAGGCGCGAAAGCGUGGGGAGCAAACAGGAUUAGAUACCCUGGUAGUC
rnacentral:rRNA from 1 species